rnacentral:rRNA from 1 species
CGCGUAGGCGGGAUGGCAAGUCAGAUGUGAAAUCUGGGGGCUCAACCCUCAAACUGCAUUUGAAACUGUCGUUCUUGAGUAUCGGAGAGGCAAGUGGAAUUCCUAGUGUAGCGGUGAAAUGCGUAGAUAUUAGGAGGAACACCAGUGGCGAAGGCGGCUUGCUGGACGACAACUGACGCUGAGGCGCGAAAGCGUGGGGAGCAAACAG